CCUUGUGCUGUGCCUGUCUUUUCCUCUAGCACAUUAUCCCAUGUUGCCGACCGCACCCAGGCACGGGACAAGCUGCAAGUUGCAAUGUGCGGUGCCCUGCAAUAUGUGGCACGUGUCCAUCUGAGACAGACAAGCAGAAAGAUCAUGAAAACCAGCCUCCCCUUUUGGCAACUGGAUUUUUGCCAGAAAAAGUACACUGACAACAUUGAACCUAUGCUUGCAGACACAGUUCAACCCAUCUAAAGAAGAGAUUUUGCAACAGUGCACUGAACUGAGUGACUGGUGUAGAAUUACAAGACAGCAGAAUACUCGCAGGUCCUAAAGCCACACGAGGAGCUGGAAUAGGAGAAAGCUGUACUAAAAUCCAGUUGUGGGGCUGCCCUGGAGGCUUUGAGUGACCAUGACUUUUGCUUACACGAAAUAGAAAAUCACCCUUGUGCCAGUUGUUAGCUAGCUACUCCUAGCAGGAACGAGCUCGUAAGGACUUGCUUUUCUUUGUUUACUGUCAUGCUCUGCUCUAAUGGAGUCAGAAGUUUGUCAAGGCAUUUUACUCUGUCAAAAAAUGAAUAAAAUAACUUACACUGAUAAAAUAAUGAAA